rnacentral:rRNA from 1 species
GUUGUAUGGUUAAGUGACUAAGCGUACACGGUGGAUGCCUUGGCAGUCAGAGGCGAUGAAAGACGUAGUAACUUGCGAUAAGCCCAGAUUAGGUAGUAACAACCAUUUGAGUCUGGGAUUUCUGAAUGGGGAAACCCACGUGCAUAAGCACGUAUCCUUACCUGAAUACAUAGGGUAAGGAGGCGAACCGGGGGAACUGAAACAUCUAAGUACCCCGAGGAAAAGAAAUCAACCGAGAUUCCGAAAGUAGCGGCGAGCGAAAUUGGACUAGCCCUUAAGCUUUACACGCGUUAGACGAACGGUCUGGAAAGUCCGACGAUACAGGGUGAUAGUCCCGUAGUUGACGACGUGUGUUCAGUGAAAUCGAGUAGGGCGGGACACGUGAUAUCCUGUCUGAAUAUGGGGGGACCAUCCUCCAAGGCUAAAUACUACUGACUGACCGAUAGUGAACCAGUACCGUGAGGGAAAGGCGAAAAGAACCCCUGUGAGGGGAGUGAAAUAGAACCUGAAACCGUGUACGUACAAGCAGUAGGAGCAGGCUUGUCCUGUGACUGCGUACCUUUUGUAUAAUGGGUCAGCGACUUAUAUUCAGUGGCAAGGUUAACCAUCUAGGGGAGCCGUAGGGAAACCGAGUCUUAACUGGGCGUUCAGUCUCUGGAUAUAGACCCGAAACCAGGUGAUCUAGCCAUGGGCAGGUUGAAGGUUGAGUAACAUCAACUGGAGGACCGAACCGACUAAUGUUGAAAAAUUAGCGGAUGACUUGUGGCUAGGGGUGAAAGGCCAAUCAAACCUGGAGAUAGCUGGUUCUCCCCGAAAGCUAUUUAGGUAGCGCCUCGGACGAAUACUACUGGGGGUAGAGCACUGUUAAGGCUAGGGGGUCAUCCCGACUUACCAACCCUUUGCAAACUCCGAAUACCAGUAAGUACUAUCCGGGAGACACACGGCGGGUGCUAACGUCCGUCGUGGAGAGGGAAACAACCCAGACCGCCAGCUAAGGUCCCAAAUUACUACUAAGUGGGAAACGAUGUGGGAAGGCUCAGACAGCCAGGAUGUUGGCUUAGAAGCAGCCAUCAUUUAAAGAAAGCGUAAUAGCUCACUGGGCGAGUCGGCCUGCGCGGAAGAUGUAACGGGGCUAAGUAGUAAACCGAAGCUGCGGCAAUAUACUUUUGUAUAUUGGGUAGGGGAGCGUUCUGUAAGCGGUUGAAGGUGUGUGGUAACGCAUGCUGGACGUAUCAGAAGUGCGAAUGCUGACAUGAGUAACGAUAAAGGGGGUGAAAAACCUCCUCGCCGGAAGACCAAGGGUUCCUGUCCAACGUUAAUCGGGGCAGGGUAAGUCGACCCCUAAGGCGAGGCCGAAAGGCGUAGUCGAUGGGAAACGGGUUAAUAUUCCCGUACUUCUUACAAUUGCGAUGGGGGGACGGAGAAGGCUAGGUGGGCCUGGCGACGGUUGUCCAGGUUCAAGUGCGUAGGCUUAAGAGUUAGGUAAAUCCGGCUCUUUUUAAGGCUGAGACACGACGUCGAGCUACUACGGUAGUGAAGUCAUUGAUGCCAUGCUUCCAGGAAAAGCCUCUAAGCUUCAGAUUGUAAGGAAUCGUACCCCAAACCGACACAGGUGGUCGGGUAGAGAAUACCAAGGCGCUUGAGAGAACUCGGGUGAAGGAACUAGGCAAAAUGGUACCGUAACUUCGGGAGAAGGUACGCUCUCGACGGUGAAGUCCCUCGCGGAUGGAGCUAUUGAGAGUCGCAGAUACCAGGUGGCUGCAACUGUUUAUUAAAAACACAGCACUGUGCAAAAUCGUAAGAUGACGUAUACGGUGUGACGCCUGCCCGGUGCCGGAAGGUUAAUUGAUGGGGUUAGACUUCGGUCGAAGCUCUUGAUCGAAGCCCCGGUAAACGGCGGCCGUAACUAUAACGGUCCUAAGGUAGCGAAAUUCCUUGUCGGGUAAGUUCCGACCUGCACGAAUGGCGUAAUGAUGGCCACGCUGUCUCCACCCGAGACUCAGUGAAAUUGAAAUCGCUGUGAAGAUGCAGUGUACCCGCGGCUAGACGGAAAGACCCCGUGAACCUUUACUACAGCUUGGCACUGAACAUUGACCCUACAUGUGUAGGAUAGGUGGGAGGCUUUGAAGCACGUACGCCAGUAUGUGUGGAGCCGUCCUUGAAAUACCACCCUUGUAGUGUUGAUGUUCUAACGUCGACCCCUUAUCGGGGUUGCGGACAGUGCCUGGUGGGUAGUUUGACUGGGGCGGUCUCCUCCCAAAGAGUAACGGAGGAGCACGAAGGUGGGCUAAUCACGGUUGGACAUCGUGAGGUUAGUGCAAUGGCAUAAGCCCGCUUGACUGCGAGAAUGACAAUUCGAGCAGGUGCGAAAGCAGGUCAUAGUGAUCCGGUGGUUCUGAAUGGAAGGGCCAUCGCUCAACGGAUAAAAGGUACUCCGGGGAUAACAGGCUGAUACCGCCCAAGAGUUCAUAUCGACGGCGGUGUUUGGCACCUCGAUGUCGGCUCAUCACAUCCUGGGGCUGAAGUCGGUCCCAAGGGUAUGGCUGUUCGCCAUUUAAAGUGGUACGCGAGCUGGGUUUAGAACGUCGUGAGACAGUUCGGUCCCUAUCUGCCGUGGGCGUUGGAAGAUUGAAGGGGGCUGCUCCUAGUACGAGAGGACCGGAGUGGACGAACCUCUGGUGUUCGGGUUGUGUCGCCAGACGCAUUGCCCGGUAGCUAAGUUCGGAAUCGAUAACCGCUGAAAGCAUCUAAGCGGGAAGCGAGCCCUGAGAUGAGUCUUCCCUGAUACUUUAAGUAUCCUAAAGGGUUGUCGGAGACUACGACGUUGAUAGGUCAGGUGUGUAAGUGCUGUGAGGCAUUGAGCUAACUGAUACUAAUUGCCCGUGAGGCUUAACCAUACAACACCCAAGGGGUUU